rnacentral:rRNA from 1 species
UAGGGAAUCUUCGGCAAUGGGGGCAACCCUGACCGAGCAACGCCGCGUGAGUGAAGAAGGUUUUCGGAUCGUAAAGCUCUGUUGUAAGAGAAGAACGUGUGUGAGAGUGGAAAGUUCACACAGUGACGGUAACUUACCAGAAAGGGACGGCUAACUACGUGCCAGCAGCCGCGGUAAUACGUAGGUCCCGAGCGUUGUCCGGAUUUAUUGGGCGUAAAGCGAGCGCAGGCGGUUUAAUAUGUCUGAAGUUAAAGGCAGUGGCUUAACCAUUGUUCGCUUUGGAAACUGUUAAACUUGAGUGCAGAAGGGGAGAGUGGAAUUCCAUGUGUAGCGGUGAAAUGCGUAGAUAUAUGGAGGAACACCGGUGGCGAAAGCGGCUCUCUGGUCUGUAACUGACGCUGAGGCUCGAAAGCGUGGGGAGCAAACAGG